rnacentral:rRNA from 1 species
AGGUGGGGAUGACGUCAAGUCCUCAUGGCCCUUAUGGGUAGGGCUUCACACGUCAUACAAUGGUCGGUACAGAGGGUAGCCAAGCCGCAAGGCGGAGCCAAUCCCAGGAAGCCGAUCGUAGUCCGGAUCGUUCUCUGCAACUCGAGAACAUGAAGUCGGAAUCGCUAGUAAUCGCGGAUCAGCAUGCCGCGGUGAAUACGUUCCCGG